GCGCUGCCCUCCCGGGCCGUCCCAUCGCGUUACCUGAGGGGGUCCCGUGCGGGUGCCGCGCCCCGGCCGCCGGCGCCGGCGCCGCUGCAGCCCCGAACGUCCCACCUGUCCUCACCUCACAAUGCUUGGGCAGAGCAGUGCAAGUGGCCAGUGGAUGGAACAAGCUGCCAGAUGCAGAAGCAGCCUGCUGGUCUGAUUCAUCAUCUGCAGUAUCUGGAGUCUGAUAAAAUGCUCCUCAUUGCCAAAGCCCAUGUGAUGCUCCUCAGGUGCACCCAAAUGUUCCUGUAUUCCAGGUGUGCCCAGGCACCUGGCCAGCCUGAGCUGAAACGGAGGCGUUCUCUUCAAAGCAGUGGAUUUACACGGUAAGAUAUCUGCACUGUUUUCCCACAUCCCUGCAAUUACUCCUUUCAUCCCUGUUUUUGAGGUACGACUCCAUUUGCAAUACAUCUGUUCUUAUUUAUUCUCCAUCCUUUCACUUUUCUCAGCUUCAUUGUAUUCCCUUAGAAACCACCUUUCCUUUUUUAAAUGCCUCUCUGCCUCACGUUGUCUUUCAAGGCCUGGAAGGUCUCUGCAUCUUUUCUGUUACCCUCUUUCUGCGGAACACCUUCCUUGUACCUCAACUGCAGUGUUUCUUCAGCAGUUUCCUACAUCUCAGGGCUGCUAUCCUUUCUACACCUCCUCUGUUACAUGUUGCCCUUUAGUUACACAUGGAGAACUGAGUUGCAAAACUGCAGGAACCUUGGACUUGCACAAAGAAAUCCUGCAGCCUAAUAGAGAUGUCCAGUUCCACAGCAGACUGCCAACUUUCUGAUGUUAUUUAUGGGAGUUGGAGAAGUAUGAUUUCCCAAAGGCGCUUAUAUAGCUGGAUGUUAGAUCAAGUUUGAGUUGACUAGUAAGUCUUGCAUUGCUUUGUUGACAGAUAAGAUGUCCCGUCCUGAGCGCAGUAUGGCUCAUGAUGUCUUGUGGCAGUUAACUCUGCAUUGUUCAGGCAAGUUGGGCUGUAUAUUUUUCAAGGAGCACCGUUUAGUGUUGCUGAACUGUGCUGGAAUGAGUUCUCUUUACUCAAGCCCACCAUGUGCUGUGGUCCUUUUAUAAAUGAAGUUUGUGUUCUACCUCCUAAACCGGAGGUGAUUCAGCUCUACCUCUGCAACCUUGAACUUGCACCGAUCUGUCACGUAGAGUUAGUACAAAUGAGAUGACCUGCUGUUUAAAUCUUCAAUCAAGUUUUUUAAUUAAGACCUGCAUAACACUACCAUUUUCAAGCUAGAUCAAUUUUGUACUUUAAUUUGUGGAGUUAAAGAGACCAGUGGGAACAGUCAAAGACUUUCUCACUUCUAUGAACUCGUUCUCAGGAAGUUGGAGGAUCUCAGCACAUCCCUUUGCCAGAGCUGCUGCUCCCAGUGAAUUUACUGGGCACGUCCCUCACUGACUUCUCUUCACCUUUAUCAAGAGUUUAACCUUGCUUUUUCAGGGCACUGCAAUCACAAAUGCGUUCUUUCUGUUUACACAGGUGGGGUCUUGCAAGUGAUAAUGGCCAGAGAUGUUCUCUUGAAACAUUUCUUACAGAAUAAACAGUAGCAGCCAAAGGUGAGGAUGAGAUUUUCAGUGCUUUGUUAGCACAGAUGUUCUGGGAAAAGGGCACUAGAAGCCCUGGAACCAUAUAAGAUGAAAUUCUUGGAAGGAAAUGAAAGCUGCCACCCACCUAACAGGGUUAACAAUGGGAAAGGUGUUCUAGGGAAUGCCGCAGCCUUGCAGCAUUCACUCAAAGUGGUACUGUUGUCACAGGCAACAGCUAACUACCAGUUAUCGGGAAUAUAUCGACAUGGUAAAUUAACCACGGCCAUUACGAGUGUCAGCAUACCUGCCGUAGCAUAACCUGCCGUUCCUGUGUUGAUUAGUACUGAUCUGAAAGCCGCCGCCACCACCAAAGCCUUUCCCUGCGGAAACUAGGAGAAGGCUGUGUCACUCAGCUGCAGCUGAGGUUGUACCUUGUGCUUAGCUGUGAGACUGCACCGAAAGUUACCAGACUGAAAUUCCUUUUUGGAAAAGGAGGAGAACACUGUUGUAAGCAAGGCUGUCCAUAAAAAUACUCCAAAGUGAAUCAAGGAUCUGUUUGUAUGCCAGGCCUGCAGAUGGGAAUGCUGCUUUUUGUGGUAACAGCUGAUGUCCUGCCCUAAAUUAUUAUAUCCGAAUAGGCUGAGGCAGAGGAGUAGGUGUAUUCAGGUCAUGCUGUUGCUCCAGCACUGGCACCACAUGGCUGAGGAAAUUCAGACUCUGAGGAGGGCCCUUCUGCUUUGCAUGCCUCUGUAUUUAGACAUUUGUGAUGUGAUUUCAAGAGCUACUCGGUAACAUGCAGCCAAUUACUACAGUUUCUUCACUACCCCCAAAAUCACGUCUUCACAUACCCCAAAGGAACAAGCCCUUGCACUUUUUGCAGCCUUUUUUGCUGUCCUCAAACUGCAUUGUUUCACAAAGGGGUUGAGAAUGUUAAUUCAUACUCAGCAAGCACUAUGUAAAUAUUAACUGUAUUAAUUUAUACAGCACUUUAAAUACUAUAUAAAUUCAACCCCAAGUGAAAGCCCCUAUCCAAAGAUUUACACAGAGCUUGUACGCUUUGGCCUGUGGAGAAAGAAAAAUACCUCCUUUUUUUUAAGAAAAGAGAAAAGCUUAACUCGGAACGUCCUCAGUUAUUUACUCCUGUAUUCAUAUUGCACAAUAAAAUAUUUACAUUAAAAUCGGUAUCAGUUUUCAAAAGGAACUUGUUAACUCCAUUUUCCAACUGAAGACAGAAAGAAAAUUAUAAAUGCCAGAGGACUGCAGUAAAAGAGAUUUAAGGGUUUUCAAAUACUAUAAAAAAGGGACUAUAAUAAGUGACUAGUGGACCAGUCAGCUGUUUUAAUUAAAACUGGGCUGCUUAUUGAUCUAUUGUACACAUUUACCCCAUCUGCAGCAUUUCAGCAAUGUUCCCUUCAACCAUUUCAGCAAAUGGCGCUUGUAAGAGACACUAAAGAAUAUGGAAGCUGCGAAUGGAAAUGUUUUAUAACUGUGACAUUUUGUACAAAGACCUUUUUUUUUAAUUUCAUUUUGUUAGUAAUGUGGUGAAAUUAAAACAGCCUGAA